UACGGAGGGUGCAAGCGUUAUCCGGAUUCACUGGGUUUAAAGGGUGCGUAGGCGGUCGGGUAAGUCUGACGUGAAAUCUUCAAGCUCAACUUGGAAACUGCGUCGGAUACUAUUCGGCUAGAGGAAUGGAGGGGAGACUGGAAUACUUGGUGUAGCAGUGAAAUGCGUAGAUAUCAAGUGGAACACCAGUGGCGAAGGCGAGUCUCUGGACAUUUCCUGACGCUGAGGCACGAAAGCCAGGGGAGCAAACGGG
rnacentral:rRNA from 1 species